AUAUGUAUUUGAAUUCAGUCUCAUGCUGGCAAAAAAAUUCUGAGUCAGAUGGAAUACUUUAGGGUAGUGGAACUUGGUGUUUGCAUAACCAAAGAAAAACAGAAGAUAACUUACAGGGAGCAAAACAAGGAGAAAUAUUUUCAGAAGUCUCCACAAACUUACAAGUCUGAAAAGAAAGGAGUAAUUUGUGUGACAGCUUCAUGGAAAAUCAAGAUUUCAACGAAUAUAUCUCACCUUAUGCACUUCACAUUUACACUGGAAGAAUUUGUUAUCUGCUGGCAUCAUCCUGGAGAAAAAGUAAAAGCAAGACAAGACCUAGGUACAGAUAUUGAUCGGGAUCUAUUGACAAUCAUUUUGAAAACGUGGGAUAGGAGAGCAAUUCAGAAGCAGUGCUUGCUAGCUUCAGAACACUGCGGGAAUGGCGGUAAGAGAGAAGUGACUUCACAGACAUGCCAUGUGUUGUAUGGAUGUUCGUGGUUCCAGAAAGCAUUUGCUUGGAGAGUGGUCUCAGAAAUAACUCUUUCUUUUGUAUGACUGGUUUUGUGUCACGUCUACUUCAGACUGAGCAGCGUAAAAUGACACUGAAGAAAACUGUUUUGAGUUCUAUCUUAUUUUUGAGUGUAACAUCCAUUUAUUUAUCUGUGGCCAACUGUUCAUUGCAGCGAACAAAUUCUGUUCAUAAGCGAGGGAAAAAAGACACUCAAGACUCUUUUUCUUCAGCAUCAGGAAGAGAAAUGUUUUCAAAAUAGCUUUAAACAUUAGAAGUUAAAAGUGUCUUCAGCUGUUGGCUCCCUGUUGCUUUGCAGGCAGCUUUUUCUCACUGUUUGGAACUUGAGCUGCAUAUGUUGCUCUGGGGACUCCCUUUUCCUCAUUGGUUCUCAGCAGCCCAGGAUUAAACGUAUCUGAUUGCCUAAUACGUAUCCAUUAAGCUAGUCAUGAAUAAUUGCUGAAAUGGUUUCCUUUAGUGAGUGAGUAUCUGACACUUUUCUGAUGUCUUUUAUUUUAAGAGCUUAAAUUGAUUGUUAAGCUCUUAAUUUAAGACUUCAUCCUGAAUCACCAAACAAAUCACAGUGACAUUUUUGUUAUGACCUCAAGGGGAAAGGCAUGGAACAGCAAAGGCACAAUUCCUUAUCAGCGUGUCUGGUACUUCUGAGGUACCAGUCAGAAUUCAAUUAAAAAGCAGGACAGAAUUGUGGCACGAGAAUCUCACGCUGGGCCCUCUUCAGCUGGGAACUGGAGUUGUUUGGCACUAUGGGACGGUUUAGGAUCUCUGCAUGAAGUGGAAUGAGCAAUAACUGCUGGAGAAAAAUAGGCCCAGGUUUGUACAAAUCCUACAAGCUCAGUUUUCAAAAAGGCACUUAAUUAUGCUUGCAAGUGUACAUAUUUAGAUGCAUGCAUUUAUAUAGUAAAAUUAAUGAGAACACUUAAAACCUUAAGUAGUAGCAGAUGGCUAGGUAGUACAGAACAGAACUGAUGGGAAGAAAAGAUACAAGGGAAGAGCAAGCAGACCCAGUUUUUUUAUUAUAGGUAUAUUCUCUAACUGAAGGUGAGCAGCAUUUUAAAUGGACUGGUCAUAGAGUAGGUGAAGCACAAAUAGGAAUAGGCUUAGUCUAGAAAUGUUGAAGAGGUAUGCAAAUAAGGAUUGCUCUUGUUCCCAGGACUAAUUAAGUAAAAAACAAUUUGAAUUAAAUAAAAAGAGUUUUUUUGCUAUAUCUUCCUUUUUAAGGUGAAUAAAACACAUGCCAUUGGGCUUCUAAGUAUUAAGAUUUGUUCCUAAUGACUUAUUUGACAAGCAUAAAAAACUGAAAUGCAAAUAAAGAUGAUUGAUUUGGUAAUUUCAUUUGGAUUAUUUGUUUUAGCAAGCAGUAGUACUGGAGAAGCAAUCUCUUACAAGCACACAGAUGAUGGAUCUGAAAGGGCUCAUUACAAAAGAUCCUAAAGAAGCAUCGGAGAGGAUUUUGAUGUCUGUCAGUGAACAGAUCAAUAAAAAGGAGAAAUGGAGCAGUAGUUCUGUAGUUCUGCUCAUGAAAGAUGCGAUUAUUUGCCUUAUGACUUUGUUUUAACUGCUGUGGUCUCCCUUGGGGUCACAACUGCUAGUUUGGUAACCACUGAAGUAGAGUGAAGAGUUAGCCAGGAGGUGUGGAAAUGAAGCUUGACAGCAGGCAGAGAUGCCUUCCAGCAGAGACAAUUCCCUCUACUGCUUUGAACUGCUGGGUCUCUGUAGCAAGGAAGGUGUUUUCUGUUGGUCUUCUUCGAUGCAUGUGCGGAGGUACACUACCAAUCUGUUGUUAGCCUGUAUUUGAGAUUAUGUAAGGUAAAAGAAUGUAUUACAAUAGCUCUUCCACCACCCACAUGCUACGUUCUGCCUGGAGUCAUAAGAAAACUUAGUUUCUUAUGUUUGUCCACAUUUGAUUCUUAUUGUCUGACUAGAAUUGUAACUACUUAUCACUCAGUCCAGGUUUUCUCCUAAUAAGAAUAAGCUUAUUGGAGUCCAAGUAAGAUUUCAGAUGUUAAACUACCCUGUAGUAAUGAUUUCUGUUAUUACACAGCAGUAAGCCAUAAGCCUUUGAUGUAUGAUGCCUAAUGAGUUACUGGUACAACAGCUGAAGACCAUACUUGUGCUGAGGAGGAAAAUAAAGCUUCAUUUGCAGGAGUUUAAGUAGUGAUGAGGAUUCUCUGCUAGUUCUCUAUAGAAGGAAGGAUAAGUAUACAGUCUUCUCAGUUAUUUUAGGAAGUUAUUUAUCUCUGUGGGUGUCAGGCAGACUCGUGGUAACAAAAAUAUGCAGUGAUUGACUGGAGUGCUGCAUCCCCUGCUGACACUAUUGCAGAGAGCAUAGCUGGCAUCAGAGCCACCCUCAGCUCUGCCUCUGCUUCCACUACAGAGCAACUGAAUCUUUAUUUUUAAUUACUUGUUUAUGAUGUGUAUGAACUGCAUGGAGCUUCGUUAUGGAUGAAUACACAAGAAGACAGUAUUUUAUUUUUUCGGUUGCUUGCAAAUUAAAAUAAUUUUGAGUUAUUAAUGGAUGAUAACUGAUGGGUAAGUGUGCUUGCAUCUCUAACAAGAUGACAAAUGUCCAUACUUUCAGAACUAGCUGUUUUAACAGGAGAUAAUGGAGAUUCAUGACCGUUUGGGAUGUGUAUUUUGAAACAGCUAGAUCUGAAUGAAUGUGAAAAAUCCUAUUUUGUGAAUUUAGUAUCUUAUACCUAAAUCUUGAGCAUAAAACUUAUUUGUAUGUUUGGCUCCCCAGGCUUGUGUAAAAAGGGGUAUCUGGAAGUUUGUUUUAACAAUAAAAUAAAGGAAUCUAGGAUGGAAAUUUAGGAAGGUGGAAUGAUAAUAAGUUACAUGUGAAAGAAAAUGAAGUUUGAGAACUAAGAGGGAGGCUGUUCGAGAGCAGAGAAAGCGUGUUAGAAGAUUGUAUGAAGAGCAGUGUAAGAAUGAAGUAACGUGGAGUUAAUAGUAGGUUACUUUAUUCCAUUCAUCUGAAAAAUCGGAAUUAACUUCAUUUCACAGUAUUCAGUUGUUCAGAAGUUUGUGUAUGUUUGUUAGUGACAUAGUAAUUCCGUUUUUAGGAAGUACUUUCCUAUAUAUCAAUUUGCUAUAAUUUUUAACAAAUUUCAACUACUGUCUAGUGAGUAUUGUCUUGUUAUUCCCUCUAUCUCUUUGAAGGCUGGACUACAACUGAUUUCCAUAGAAAAUACUAUGCCACAGAUGAGUGCUUAAUUAUUAUAUAGAAUUGUUUAGAAUUCUAGAUGAAAGACACACAAAGAAUGGCAACCUGUAGAAUGCUAUUAAUUUGCAGUAAUUGAUAUAUUCAAUGCAAUCGCUGAAUUUUAUGAAAGUCAAUGAGAAGCAAAUAGUACAUAUUUGCAGUCGCAAAGCUUAGCCUAUCUUUCUUAUUACAGCAGCUGUGAUUCAUUUCCUCCACACAGGGAGAGGGAAAUGGUUUCAUGAGGCAGCAAAAGGGUCAGGAGAUGUCAAAGUAGCUUUCUCACAUAGGCUUACGUGCAGAGCAUCAGCAUACAAAACAUUACCAUGAGACUCCUUUUUGAUUGCUUCAUAUUUCCUUGCAUUUAUUUAAGUAGACAAAUUUAAUCCAAUGGGAUAAAAUAAAAUGUUAGAAGAGGAGGGAUAUGACUAGAUCGUAGUAAACUUGUCUUUCCGUCUUUGAACAUGAAGCCGCCCAUAUGCACGAUAUUGUGAGAGGCAAACAGCCCUUACCUGAAGUGGAACUUAAAAGAGAAGACAUUUAGUCCUUUUGUAAACCUACAAUGAUAAAAUAUUUUGGAAUUAGAAAAUGUACCAUUUACUUUAAUGAAUUGGCAUAGGAAAUUGCUUAUCUUUGUAGAGCUCCAGAUCCUAGAUUUAGUUGUUCGUUCAAUUUCUCUAUUUUCAUUUGGAAGGCCUUCAUGUAUUUUACUCUCUGAUCAUAACAAAGCGGAUGCAUAAGUUCUUUUUAAUUAUGAAAUAAAUCCAAGAUAGCAAUACAGUCUAAUAGUUUGGUAC